CACGUAGGGUGCGAGCGUUGUCCGGAAUUAUUGGGCGUAAAGAGCUCGUAGGUGGUUUGUCGCGUUGUCCGUGAAAACUCACAGCUCAACUGUGGGCGUGCGGGCGAUACGGGCAGACUGGAGUACUGCAGGGGAGACUGGAAUUCCUGGUGUAGCGGUGGAAUGCGCAGAUAUCAGGAGGAACACCGGUGGCGAAGGCGGGUCUCUGGGCAGUAACUGACGCUGAGGAGCGAAAGCGUGGGGAGCGAACAGG
rnacentral:rRNA from 1 species